GCCUUCGUGGUGUAGUGGUCAGCAUGCUCGACGCGUAACCGAGAGGUCCGUUGUUCGAAUCCCGGAGAAGGCG
rnacentral:tRNA from 1 species